rnacentral:lncRNA from 1 species
GGGGCAGGGCCGCCUCACCGCACUUCCCCAGGAUUUCAGGGAACAGGCUCCUGUGACUUGGAAAUGAAAAUGGAUCACCCAACCUGGAGGAACAGUGAGGCUGGUGUCCAAGACUUGCCCCUUGCCUGCACUUCCAGCAAAGAUUUGGAGACACUCAGUGGAAACCAAUCGAGCCCCCAGCCCACCCCCGCCCAGACUCAGCCACCAAAGUUCCCUCACUGCAUGUGGCACACGGGCUCAUGGGAGUUUCUCUGCCUGCGAUUGUCCACGUUGACACCUUCUGCACAGGUGCAUUUGUGAGUCCCCUCGGUGUCUCUGCAGCAUCUAUGUGUGGAUGAAUAGUGAAGCCACAUGAGGCCUGGUCUGAAGCAGAGAAGAUCCGCUCAGCAUCACGUUGAAUCCCAAGCCCGCAUCUCCGUGGGCUCCAGGACAAUCCUAUGAAAAUGACACCGUCGGUUCAUUGUUCACAUCGGGGAGGAGAAUUCCGUCUGAAAAUGAGCGUGACUUCACUGACACCCAAGUCCGUGGCACAGCCCUGUGCUGAGCUCCACAGACCUACAGUCCAUCGCCUCCCCUUCGAGUGGGCCCAGGGCUGCAGACAGCAUUGUCCAAAGAAGACACCCUGACUCGAUGAAUGGAACAAACUGGAAACUCCAGAAACAAGCCCUUCUUUACAUUUCUGGUGUUUGGCCUAAAUGGAAGGUGCCAAGGAAGCAGAUGAUGCCCCGAGUACAUCUACACUUGGGCUGCAACAAGAAACAACAGAGCCCAUGAAAACUGACAGUGCUGAAAGUGAAGACUGAGAUUCGGGAGCUCAGGUGCCCCUGUGAUCCAGGUCUUCUACCCUGAAACCCCACCCUCCAUCAAGGUCCUGCCUGUAGAGUCUACCUUGCAAAGCCUCCUGCUCCUACCCAUGCUACAGGCCAGGAACCAGAGCCCAUCAUCUCAGAGGCCCCUGGAUGUCCUUCGAAGGAACCAGGACCCUCAGAGCCCAGCAUCCAUCUCUGUCAUCAUCUUCAUCACACCCAAAGAAGAGCCAGCCUUGCAGGAGGGUUUACAUCUCCAGGAAGAUGGGCUGCCAGCAACUGCAGAGGAUGCAGCCACCUGCUUAACUGUGCUGUCCAGCCAGCCAGCCAGCUGCAGGGCCUCUUGCUGCUUAAGAGCUGAUGGGCCGGGCAUGUUGGCUCACACCUGUGAGCACAGUACUGGGAAAUGGGAGCAUAGUACUGGGAAAUGGGAGCACAGUACUGAGAAAUGGGAGCACAGUACUGGGAAAUGGUAGCACAGUACUAGGAAAUGGGAUCACAGUGCUGGGAAAUGGGAGCACAGUAAUGGGAAAUGGGAGCACAGUGCUGGGAAAUGGGAGCACAAAGUACUGGGAAAUGGGAGCACAGAGUACUGGGGAAUAGGAGCACAGUACUGGGAAAUGGGAGCAAACAGCACUGGGAGAUAGGAGUAUACAGCACUGGGAAAUGGGAGCACGGCACUGGGAAAUGGGAGCACAGUACUGGGAAAUGGGAGCACAGUGCUAGGAAAUGAGAGCACAGUUUUGGGAAAUGGGAGCACAGUACUGGGAAAUAUGAGCACAGUACUGGGAAAUGGAAGCACAUGGCACUGGGAAAUAGGAGUAUACAGCACUGGGAAAUGGGAGCACAGUACUGGGAAUUGGGAGCACAGCACUGGGAAAUGGGAGCACAGUACUAGGAAAUGGGAGCUCACAGCACUGGGAAAUGGGAACAUAGUACUGGGAAAUGGGAGCACAGUACUGGGAAAGGGGAGCCCACAGUACUGGGAAUUGGGAGCACAGUACUGGGAAAUGGGAGUUCACAGCACUAGGAAAUGGGAGCACAGUAUUGGGAAAUGGGAGCACAGUACUGGGAAAGGGGAGGGCACAGCACUGGGAAAUGGGAGCAUAGUACUGGGAAAGCGGAGCACAGUACUGGGAAAGGGGAGCCCAUAGUACUGGGAAAUGGGAGCACAGUACUGGAAAAUGGGAGCUCACAGCACUGGGAAAUGGGAGCAUAGCAUUGGGAAAUGGGAGCACAGUACUGGGAAUUGGGAGCACAGCGCUGAGAAAUGGGAGCUCACAGUACUGGGAAAUGGAGCACAGUAUUUGGAAAUGGGAGCACAGUACUGGGAAAUGGGAGCUCACAGCACUGGGAAAUGGGAGCAUAGCAUUGGGAAAUGGGAGCACAGUACUGGGAAUUGGGAGCACAGUACUGGGAAAUGGGAGCUCACAGUACUGGGAAAUGGGAGCUCACAGUACUGGGAAAUGGGAGCACAGUAUUCGGAAAUGGGAGCACAGUACUGGGAAAUGGGAGCUCACAGCACUGGGAAAUGGAGCAUAGCAUUGGGAAAUGGGAGCACAGUACUGGGAAAUGGAAGCUCACAGUCCUGGGAAAUGGGAGCAUAGUGCUGGGAAAUGGGAGCACAGUACUGAGAAAUGGGAGCACAGUACUGGGAAAUGGGAGCCCAGUACUGAGAAAUGGGAGCACACAGUACUGUGAAAUGGGAGCACAGUACUGGGAAAUGGGAGCAUAGUACUGAGAAACCCCAGACCUGGAUUCUGAGUUUUUCAGUCUAGCCCAGACUUCUUAUCUUAGUAGACAAAAAGAGUCAAUACCAGAGAACCAGAGGCAUCCUCUGUAUUUUAAUGAACUCUGCGUUUUAGUCUGUUUAGUAGUCAUAUUUUAAAAGAUAAUCAGUUUUCUAAAUAUAUCUAUAAGUUACUAC